rnacentral:rRNA from 1 species
CCGGACUUUCACACCUUGUCCUCAAGUGAAGUAUUGGAUGAGUUUGUGGCUAUGAGCAUCUUGGACAAGACCGCCGACAAUGCGGUUCUUCGCUCUCAAAGAGUUAAGAAGCCCAACCUUGCUCUAAAGGCCAAGGUUAGUAUGGAGGAAGAGGAUGAAGAGGAAGAAGAGGAGGGCAACCUCGAAGAUACGAAGUAUGCCUAUCAUGAACACAUGGCUCUUGCUUCAAGGCAAUUUUGGAGCAAUAAGAACACAAGGCCAAACUUCAACAAAAGCAACUCAAGUGGUGCAAAGGGCAAGCAACGGAUGAGGACUUGCUUCAAUUGUGGCAAUGUUAGCCACUUUGUUGCG